GAAGAUGUAAAAAGCAAAGGGAGAAAAGAAAAGGUAACCCUACUCUACUUUUUUUUCCUUUACUUCACAUUUCCUUGUCAAUGUCACUACAAGAAAUAACACAUACGAUAGCUAAUGAAAAAAUCUAUAAUAGACUUUUUAUAACCUUUUUCGAAAGUCUUGACAGUCCAUGUAAUUAAAAGUUUGAGACUUUUUAUAGCGUUUUGUCGAAGCUAUAAUGAGUGUCGUUGUAGAGUAUGAAGAUAUAGCUUAU
rnacentral:lncRNA from 1 species